AUUGAACGCUGGCGGCAGGCCUAACACAUGCAAGUCGAGCGAGCGGCGGACGGGUGAGCAAUGUCUGGGAAAAUGCCUGAUGGAGGGGGAUAACAACUGGAAAAGGUAGCUAAUACCGCAUACCAUCAGAUGUGCCCAGAUGGGAGUAGAUCGUAGGUGGGGUAACGCCUCCCCUAGGCGACGAUCCCUAGCUGGUCUGAGAGGAUGACCAGCCCCACUGGAACUUAGACACGGUCCAGACUCCUACGGGAGGCAGCAGUGGGGAAUAUUGCACAAUGGGCGCAAGCCUGAUUGAGCCAUGCCGCGUGUGUGAAGAAGGCCUUCGGGUUGUAAAGCUCUUUCAGCGGGGAGGCGUUAACCGCAGAAGAAGCACCGGCUAACUCCGUGCCAGCAGCCGCGGUAAUUC
rnacentral:rRNA from 1 species